GCUCAGGAUGAACGCUGGCGGCGUGCCUAAUACAUGCAAGUCGAGCGAACUGAUUAGAAGCUUGCUUCUAUGACGUUAGCGGCGGACGGGUGAGUAACACGUGGGCAACCUGCCUGUAAGACUGGGAUAACUUCGGGAAACCGAAGCUAAUACCGGAUAGGAUCUUCUCCUUCAUGGGAGAUGAUUGAAAGAUGGUUUCGGCUAUCACUUACAGAUGGGCCCGCGGUGCAUUAGCUAGUUGGUGAGGUAACGGCUCACCAAGGCAACGAUGCAUAGCCGACCUGAGAGGGUGAUCGGCCACACUGGGACUGAGACACGGCCCAGACUCCUACGGGAGGCAGCAGUAGGGAAUCUUCCGCAAUGGACGAAAGUCUGACGGAGCAACGCCGCGUGAGUGAUGAAGGCUUUCGGGUCGUAAAACUCUGUUGUUAGGGAAGAACAAGUACAAGGAGUAACUGCUCUGUACCUUGACGGUACCUAACCAG
rnacentral:rRNA from 1 species